rnacentral:rRNA from 1 species
UGGGGAAUAUUGCACAAUGGGGGAAACCCUGAUGCAGCGACGCCGCGUGAACGAAGAAGGUAUUCGUAUCGUAAAGUUCUGUCCUAUGGGAAGAUAAUGACAGUACCAUAGAAGAAAGCUCCGGCUAAAUACGUGCCAGCAGCCGCGGUAAUACGUAUGGAGCGAGCGUUGUCCGGAAUUAUUGGGCGUAAAGGGUACGCAGGCGGUUUAAUAAGUCGAAUGUUAAAGAUCGGGGCUCAACCCCGUAAAGCAUUGGAAACUGAUAAACUUGAGUAGGGGAGAGGAAAGGGGAAUUCCAAGUGUAGUGGUGAAAUACGUAGAUAUUAGGAGGAAUACCAGUAGCGAAGGCGACUUUCUGGACACAAACUGACGCUGAGGUACGAAAGCGUGGGGAGCAAACAGG